rnacentral:lncRNA from 1 species
GGGGUGUCGGGUUCAUCAUAAGCAAAGAAUGGACUACGAAGAUCGCCUCAUGCCAUUUUGUGUCAUCGCGUAUCGGAGUGCUCAACGUGAACCUCUCGGGAAAGGCCACCCUUAAGAUCAUCCAGACCUACGCUCCCACCAGUGCCAGCGACGACGAUGAAGUGGAAGAGUUCUAUCGCCAGCUAGACAUGGUGCUAGCUCGGAAAUCCACUUACACCGUCGUGAUGGGAGACUUCAAUGCAAAGGUCGGAAAAGGGAGGCAAGGUGAAAGGUAUGUUGGAAAGUUUGGAACUGGAGAAAGAAAUGAAAGAGGGGAACGUUUGGUCACUAUGGUAGAGGCGAGAAAAAUCUACAUCGGGAACAGCCUGUUCAAGAAGAACAGCGAGAAAAGAUGGACCUGGAUAGCCCCUAACGCUGCACAUCGCAAUGAGAUCGACUACAUCCUGGUCGACAAGCGGCGCAUUCUGCAAGACAUCUCUGUCGUAACGCCAUUCAACACCGGCAGCGAUCACCGCCUGCUCAGGGCCAAGAUCGUCAUCGACAGGACAAAGGAGAAGAAGACACUGCAGCUGACGUCGAGGGAAGAACGUGUGAAGGUCUACGAUGGAAAGCGACUGCAGGAAGCGAUGGAGAGGAAAUCCUGGUGCCGAAUUGACGGAAUUGACGAUGAUUAUGACUCACUGAUCGAGAAACUGAAGGAAUGCUUGAGGGAGGCAAAGGAGGCGGGCCCAAGGGAGCAGAAGGGAAGAAUCUCGGAAGAAACCAAAAAACUUCUCGAGAAGAGAAAGAACAUGAAGAGGACUGCGGAAGAUCGCCUUGAAUAUUCCAUUCUCAGCAGGGUGAUACGACUGCAGCUGAAGAGAGACUUCGAAAAAUACCGGAUGGAAAAGCUCCUGAAGGCCGCCGAGGAAAGGAAGAGCCUCAAGAAAUGUGAAAGGGGGAUGGCACUCUAUAAAUCGGAAGUGACGAAGCUGAAGAACUCGGAUGGUGCUACAGCCGAUGAAAGAGGCGAGGUGGUAAAGAUCUGUAAAGACUUUUACACUAAGCUUUUUAAAUCUGCUGUGAAGAUUGAACCACCACCGUCACUUCAAAGGAAGGAGAAUGUGCCCCCCAUUCUCGUAAGUGAGGUUGAAAGGGCCGUCAAUUUGAUGAAGAGGGAAAAAGCACCGGGGAAAGAUGGCAUAACAUCUGAAAUGCUGAAGUUGGGCGGAGAACAGCUCUGGAAAAUCCUCGCCGAACGGUUCAGUCACUAUCUGAACACGUGCAAGAUACCAUCGCAGUGGAAAGAGUCGAGAACCAUCCUGCUGUAUAAGAAGGGAGAUAGAGAAGAUCUGAAGAACUAUCGUCCCAUAUGCCUCUUGUCCCACAUCUACAAGCUGUUCACGAAGAUAAUCCUAACACGAUUAUCAGAACACUUGGAUGGACAACAACCAAGGGAACAAGCAGGCUUCCGAAGAACCUACAGCACGAUGGAUCACAUCUUCACUCUGAC